GGGGAUGUAGCUCUAAUGGUAGAGCACUUGCUUUGCAUGCAAGAGGCAGGGGGUUCGAUCCCCGCAUCUCCA
rfam:Nicotiana sylvestris Nsyl_contig392803, whole genome shotgun sequence.